GGCCUGGUGGUCUAGUAGUAUGAUUCCUUCUUAGGGCUCAACGUCAUUUGGAGGAGGUCCCGGGUUCAAUUCCCGGCCAGGCCC